UUUUCUCUGUAACCCUCAAUAAAGUUAUAUAUGUCUUUAAAGUAUGAAAAUGAAGUAUUUCUAGUUAUCUCUUCUGGAUUCAGAUGACCCAGAAUUUUUUAAUCCAUGUGAAUUUCUGCAGAGAUCUUGCUAUGUGCUAGUUUUAGUCACAUGUGGAUUCGGGAAGAGCAGAAUUAUUUGUGUAUGAAAUUACCUGUGCUGUGUUAAUUAAUGCAGAUAUCUAAUGACUUUUCAUGAUUUCCAGAUUUUUAGGCACCCUGGAUGGUACCCUGAUGGUUCAAAUGAAUUAGUCUAUGCAUUAUAUAUAAGUGCAAAAUGUUUAAACUUAUUCUCUCCUAUUCUAAUAGAAGUAAGGCAUUUUUAGCUUGCUUUGGAAAUAGCAACUCACACCAUUACAUAUUAGUUAUUUGCAAGUCUUCCUAAUAAACCCCAGGAGUAAAUUUUAAGUAAACGUAUGAUUUCUAAAAAUAUAACAAUUAUCAUUAGAGAGUGCUAGGUUUUAAGUAAUAGAAACUUAGUUCAAACUUCAGUACAGUUUAAUUAGAAUAAGGAAUUUAUUAGUCCAUUUAGCUAGGACACCAGGAUGGCUGAUAAGACCAAAGAUGAACCAUUUGUAUCAGGGCCUCAAAGUUUAGAACUGCUUGCUUUCUUGCUUGCUUGAAAAAAAGAUUUUAUUUAUUUUAUUUAUUUAUUUAUUUAUUUAUUUAUUUUUUUAAAAAAGAUUUUAUUUAUUUAUUCAUUUAUGAGAUACAGAGAGAGAGAGAGAGGCAGAGACAUAGGCAGAGGGAGAAGCAGGUUUCCCACCUGAUCCCUGGACCACGGGAUCACGGUCUGAGGCUCAACUGCUGAGCCACCCCGGCGUCCCUAGAACUGCUAGACAAUCAGAAGAAAUACUUUAUAAAGAUAGAUUGUCAAAUCAAAAGCUGUUGAAGCGUAUUCCUUAUUGAGUAUGCAUUCUUGAAUCCAAAUAAGAUAAAUAGAUUUGAGAAAAUGAUCUGCUAAACCCAUUGUAGGCAUAUGAGAAGAUGUUUUCUCAUGUUAGAAAAUUUCCUAAGUAGAAUAAUUGGUAUGGCACACUGGAGGGAAGGACAGUUGAAUUAGGGAUUGUUGUGUUAGGAAAAUAAAUUAACAUACCCAAUAUUUUCCUUUGCUUAUAUUUCUUCCACAGAAGAGUCACAAAGAAAUGAUAGACUGCAGCUUUAAAAAAAAAUUAUUUUAGAAUUUUGCUAAAUUAGCAGGAGGGGGCCAUUACAUUUGUUGUUGAUAUUAAAAUAUGAGUAAGCCCUCAUUGAUUUGAUAGUUAAUUCCAAAAUAAGGAAUUUUAGUUAUCAGUGAAUGGUAAUUUCAGUAUUUCUUCUUUAUUGCAGCAAUUCAUAAACAAAUACAUAUGUAUUUCUUUCAUACAAUGAAAAUAAUAUGAAUUGCCUAGGAUUCAUAAGAAGCUUCUAAAAUACUUCACCUUGAGUGAUAUAUAUGUAUGGUGUAAAUUGAAGCAAAUUCUCCAAAUCAACAUUCAUCAUGUGUAAUAGCUGUAGAAGUCAGAGGCAUUCCGUUUGUGUUGUUGCAAGCCAAUUGGCCUUUAUAAUCUGGUAGUAACAGAAUCAGUGGUAUAUAAAAUAGAAGUUGUUAUAUUUUAAUAAAGCAAACAUGGAUUUAAAAUAGUUUGUUAUGUUUAUAAUAGCAUAUUUGACAAAAUGAACAAGACUUAUCAAAAACUGCUUUUAUAAAUUUUGGUCUAAAUGGUUCUCAAGUUAUUCAUGCUAUGGUAACACAUUACAAAUAAUAAAUAAACUGCAAUUAUUUAUAAUGAAUUCACUUUGUCAAGAGAUUGUGACCACAGAAUACAGCUCAGAUGACACUUGUGUCAAAGAACAUAAAUUGGCUCAAAUAGCUCAAAAGAUCCUGCCUGGAUCUAAGGAUUUAAAUAAUGUCAUCAGAAUUCAGGCUUAUGACACUGCUUUCAUAUGUGGCUUCAUUCUUAAGAGCCUCUCUCCUGUCAUAGGGGCAAGAAAGCUGCCUGUUGCUUCAAGCCCAUAUCCCACUUUUCAGCAACCUCAGUGGAAAGAAAGUGUGCCUCUUUUUCAGCAGUUCCAAUAAAGUCAGAAUUAUGCCUCAUUGGCUCUGACUGGUUUAACUUUAGUCAUUUGCCAUAUCUAGAACUAAUCACUGUGGCCAGAGAGAUGUGAUAUUAGGAUAAGCUACUCCUGGAUUGGGGUAAGGAGUGGGGUGUUGCUCUGAAGAAAAAUGAUAUUGAUCCCUGAAAAAGGAUAAAUAGAUCCAGGGUAGUAAAAACUUAUAAAUACCUGACAAAUGAUUCCUUUUAUUUUUUAAUUUUUUUAAAAGAUUUUAUUUAUUUAUUCAUAAGAGACAGAGGGAGAGGCAGAGACAUGGGCAGAAGCAGACUUCCUGUGGGGAGCGUGAUAUGGGACUUGAUCUCAGGACUCUGGAAUCAUGACCUGAGCCAAAGGCAGAUGCUCAACCACUGAACCACCCAGGUGCCCCAAAUGAUUCCUAUUUAUUGAUUGAUUGAUUGAUUUUAAAGAUUUUAUUUAUUUAUUCAUGAGAGACACAUAGAGAGGCAGAGACAUAGGCAGAGGGAGGAGAAGCAGGCUCCAUGCAAGGAGCCCAAUCCGGGAUCAGGCCCUGAGCCAAAGGCAGAUGCCCAACUGGUGAGCCACUCAGGUGUCCCAUGAUUCCUUUGUAAAAUGAAUAUAUUUUUGAGAGGCACCUGGGUGUCUCAGUUGGUGAAGUGUUCAACUCUUGAUUUUGGAUCUCAGGGUUGUGAGAUCAAGCCCCACUUUGGGCUCAGCAUGUUGAGUAUGGAGCCUGCUUAAGAUUCUCUCUCUCUCUCUCUCUCUCUCUCUUUCCCAUCCCUCUCUUCUUCCCCAUCGCCCUCACAUGCUCUCUCUCUCAAAA
rnacentral:lncRNA from 1 species